rnacentral:lncRNA from 1 species
UUUUUUUUUUUUUUUUUUUUUUGUCUUUUUAGGGCUUUACCCACGGCAUAUGGAGGUUCACAGGCUAGGGGUCAAACUGGAGCUAUAGCUGCUGGCCACAGCCACAGCAAUGCUAGAUCCCAGCUGCAUCUGAGACCUACACCACAGUUCAUGGCAAUGGAGCCUUAACCCACUUAGCAAGACCAGGGAUAGAACCUGUAUCCUCAUGGAUGCUAGUCAAGAUUCCUUUCUGCUGAGCCACGAUGGGAACUCCUGGAAAAUAUAAUCCACCUCUUUCCAGUCCCAAAUCCUGCUCUAGUUCACAGAUGCUAAUAUGGCUCGGCCCAGUCCCUAGAGUGUCAUCUGAAUUGGGUUGGGCUCAAAAGCUGGACCCAGCUGUGGCUCUUUCCUGACUGUCUCCAGCAAGGCCUUGGACUGACCUGGGCUCUGGGCCACUGUAUGAGAGACAGAUUUUCUUGCCAGACUGGAAUUAACCAACCCCAAGAAUCCUGGAGACCCAGAAUGACCAGAACUGGACCACCAGAAAAGAAAGCAGGCUUCUUCACCCCACUUUGAUUCUAACCACAUUCUUAGGACCCAAUGAGUCAGUGGCCCUUAAGGGUGGGAGAGCUUUCCUUUAGGAUAUUUAUUCUACUAUUUUCCUAUGAGAUUUUCAGUAGCUGGCUAAUCAUGCAAGCUAGAAAUGUGGUGGAAAGGCAGAGAACCUCCAUCUUUUGUUGCUCAUUCUUUGACUCCUCCAUCACCUACUACCUACUGUUGAAAUUUGGACAGGCUGGCAAACUCAUAUUGCCUUCCAUGAUGUUCAUUUAAAAGAAGUGGUGUUUGGACAGCAUUCCUUUGUCUUCUGGAUGAUUCUAGAGAUCCAGAUUCUCACAUGCCCAGUUUAUCUGGGCAGCUUUGCUUGGACUUUCAGGCCUUCAUCCUAGCCCCUGGCUUCUAAUAUUUUCUCUUUUUUUGAUGAGACCAGGUUGGUCUACUCUUCCUUCAUUCCCACCUCCGUUAUUGCUUUCAAGCACAAGGUCCCUUUAAUGCCUGGAGGCAUGCUGCAUACCACAGCGAUGGCACGGACAAGAAAGAGAUGAGAGCAGGUGCUGGAGAAGGAUGCUAUGCCAGGCAAUGCUGAGGGCUGCUCCUCCACAGUGUACUCUUGGCUGGGCAGCAAUCAGGGCUGCUGCUGCUGAGGGGUCAUUCUUUGGCCAAAGACAGGGAGGGCACUUCAGAGGACUUAGAAAAGUGGAUCCUAGAUGCUAACGUUGGGGGAGAUCCUACAGGUCAGCAAGUCACCAUGCACCUGCUACUUUAAUCCCAUCCUCACCAUCCUUCCCUACAGCCAUACAGGAGGGACCUGAAUAGCUUGUAUUAGUUUGGAUAUUCUCAGAAGCAAAGGUCAAUCAGGUUUAAACAUGCAAAGAUUUUGUAAGUGGAGAUGAAAAAAACAGGAAAGGGGCCAGAGAAGGCUAGGGAGCACCAGCAAGAUGCAAUUCUGACUUAAGUGAUGGACAGAAGAAGCAGUUUGGGUGAAAGCAUCCUAGACAGUCAUGUAGUUCAAGAAAGUUUCAGCAAACCUUUGGGAGGUUCUUGAGCCCAAAGUCAGCUGGCAAAGCAGUGCCAUGUUUCCCUGGAAUGAGUCUGCGAAAGUAUCCCUGCCUCAGGUGGUCACUGGCAGGGAGCAGCCUAUGGGAGACAUGGCAGACCACCCCGUCUCCGUGCAGAUGCAGUGGUGGUCUUUGCACUUCCUCCCAGGUCUCCAGGAGCUCAACAGUUUAAACAGCACUGUCUCAACCUGGCAUCCUCCCAGAAUAAGAAAGAAAGGGCAACCAGACAUCUGAGUGGAGCUAGAGCAGAGCAGAGGAGAGAGGCCAAGCCUGGAAAGCAGAAGCUGCAGAAACUCAAACCUGCCUCUGUGGGCCCUUGGGACAGCCAUUUGACUAGCACUCAAGGUCCAGGGAUCACAGGGCUUCAGCUAGUCCUGGUUGAAAAAAGAGGGCUAUAUGCUGGGUCUACGGCAUCUUAUUUUAGCCUACAAGUUUAGCUCUGUUUAUAAUAAAAACCCAAUCAAUACGAGUGCUCAGAAAUUCUUUCCUAAAAUCCAUUCCCAAUUUUCACCCAACCCCAAAUCAUACAUUUAAAUAAAUGCUGAUCAGAAUUUAGGGGGGCUGGGUUCCCACUUGGAACAGAUGAUUUGAAAUGCCCACUUAUUUUUUUUGUUUCUUCAUCUUUUUAUUGGUAAAAACAGUAACAGUUCUAGGACAGUUGGAAAUGGCUCUUUUGGAAAACCU